AGUCACAGAAAGUCAAAGUUAGAAGCUCGAAUCAUUUCCACAACCCAAACCUCUUAAGUACAGACAGUAGAGAAAGUCAGGCUGAGAACCUCAACAUGGGGAUGUCCAGUGCUCGUGUCAAGGCACAGUUUGCCAAAAGGACAUAAUGAGCAGAACUUCCGUCGACUUCCUUCCUUUGCGAAGCAAGCCAGCGAAGAGAAUGAAAAAAAGCACCAUGAAAAUAGGAUGUGCACAUGAGAGGCUGGAUUCUUUCAGAUUGCGAUCGGUCCUCACAAAGGAACCCCUAAGCUGUGGUGGCCUUUUAGCAGCGGCGUUAUCUGUCAUCGCUCAAUAUUGAAAUGAUCCGAUUUGCGAGGAAGGAACGCCUGCAUCCUGUAGGUGGUCAAAGAUGAGCGAUAUUAUCGAUCGAUCAAUAGGGGAUGGGAGGAAAAACAGCAGCAGCUGGGGCGGUAAAAAUCGCAACUCGCACCUUAACGGCCCGGCUAUCAAUUUCAGUGAUUUUAAAUACCAGAUGAGCUUCUGUAGGAGAAAGCAGAUUCUAAUUAAUCCUCAGACAGCCGGAGCAGGGGGAGAAAUUAAGGGCUGUCUUUUAUGACGGGGAAAGCUUAAUAGUUUGGCCUGGGGAGAAAAACGCGUCCGCAAGCUAUUAAGUUCCUAAUUCGCAGAAUGAAAUUUUAAACUAAAAGCAUUUGAGCCUGCCACCGUUAUCCCCAUGCCAUAUACAUAUAGCUAUGGCAACAGUGUCGUUGGCGCUGUCGCCCAUCUGCACCGGCAACCAAUUAACAGCUUAUUAGAAUGCACACCAUCAGUAAUCCUGGCCGGCAACAAUUUGUGGACUUAAAAUAUUAAAUUGCUGAAACUUAAAAACAGAUUUCUCAGCAGAAAGCGGAAAAAACAGCAGCAGUGCCAGGCCAAACUUCCAACUAAGCAAGCGGAGUCGGGGGCCGUUGGGGAGG